UACGAAGGGGGCUAGCGUUGUUCGGAAUUACUGGGCGGAAAGCGCGCGCAGGCGGUCCUUCAAGUCAGAGGUGAAAGCCCAGAGCUCAACUCUGGAACGGCCUUUGAGACUAGAGGGCUUGGGUACGGGAGAGGUGAGUGGAAUUCCGAGUGUAGAGGUGAAAUUCGUAGAUAUUCGGAAGAACACCAGUGGCGAAGGCGGCUCACUGGCCCGUUACCGACGCUCAGGCGCGACAGCGUGGGGAGCAAACAGG
rnacentral:rRNA from 1 species